AAUUUGAAAUCUGGCCCCUCCGGGGUCCGAGUUGUAAUUUGCAGAGGGUGCUUCGGGCGCGGUCGCGGUCUAAGUCCAUUGGAACAUGGCGUCGUAGAGGGUGAGAAUCCCGUAUGCGACCGGGGGACCGAGCCCAUGUGAAGCCUCUUCGACGAGUCGAGUUGUUUGGGAAUGCAGCUCAAAAUGGGUGGUAUAUUUCAUCUAAAGCUAAAUAUUGGCUGGAGACCGAUAGCGCACAAGUAGAGUGAUCGAAAGAUGAAAAGCACUUUGGAAAGAGAGUCAAACAGUACGUGAAAUUGUUGAAAGGGAAGCGCAUGCCCCCAGACCUGCCCGGGGACGAUCAGCCGGCUGUUCUCAGCGGUGCACUCGCCCCCGCGGUCAGGCCAGCAUCGGUUUCGGCGGUCGGACAAAGGCCCCGGGAAUGUAGCUCCCCCCGGGGAGUCUUAUAGCCCGGGGCGCAAUGCGGCCAGCCGGGACCGAGGACCGCGCUUCGGCUAGGAUGCUGGCGUAAUGGCGGUACGCGACCCGUCUUGAAACACGGACCAAGGAGUCUAACAUCUAUGCGAGUGUUUGGGCGUCAAACCCAUGCGCGGAAUGAAAGUGAACGGAGGUGAGAACCCCCCCGGGGGCGCAUCAUCGACCGAUCCAGAUGUCUUCGGAUGGAUUUGAGUAUGAGCAUGGCCGUUGGGACCCGAA
rnacentral:rRNA from 1 species